rnacentral:rRNA from 1 species
CCUACGGGCGGCAGCAGUGGGGAAUAUUGCACAAUGGGGGAAACCCUGAUGCAGCGACGCCGCGUGAGUGAAGAAGUAUUUCUGUACGUAAAGCUCUAUCAGCAGGGAAGAAAAUGACGGUACCUGACUAAGAAGCCCCGGCGAACUACGUGCCAGCAGCCGCGGUAAUACGUAGGGGGCAAGCGGUAUUCGGAUUUCCGGGGUUUAAAGGGGGCGUAGACGGCAGCGCAAGUCUGGAGGGAAAUCCCAUGGCUUAACCAUGGAACUGCUUUGGAAACUGUGCAGCUAGAGUGCAGGAGAGGGAAGCGGAAUGCCUAGUGUAGCGGUGAAAUGCGUAGAUAUUAGGAGGAACACCAGUGGCGAAGGCGGCUUACUGGACUGUAACUGACGUUGAGGCUCGAAAGCGUGGGGAGCAAACAGGAUUAGAUACCCCAGUAGUC